CCUUGUGCAAAUGUGCAAAAAAGAAUAGUUGUACAUUUAGUGGAUGCGCAUUCUUGCUACAAGCAUGGGCAUGGUGGAGAAUGCCGGUAUUGGCCCCUGCAAAUCCAAACAGUUUCGCCUUCCCUUACGCUUCAAGGUUUAAUGCAAUCGGGUUGGAUUACACCAAUACGCCUUUAUCCAAAAUCAUUUUUUACCGCCAACUAUUAGAUCGACUUGGACCCCAAGAUUUUAUUUGGAGACCUUACUUGGAAUUGGAUCACGUACCCGACCUUGACGAGGCGGCUAUUUGGACAACAAAAUCAC